rnacentral:rRNA from 1 species
AACGAACGCUGGCGGCAUGCCUAACACAUGCAAGCCGAACGAGACCUUCGGGUCUAGUGGCGCACGGGUGCGUAACGCGUGGGAACCUGCCCUUAGGUUCGGAAUAACUCCCCGAAAGGGGUGCUAAUACCGGAUAAUGUCUUCGGACCAAAGAUUUAUCGCCUUUGGAUGGGCCCGCGUUGGAUUAGCUAGUUGGUAGGGUAAAAGCCUAUCAAGGCGACGAUCCAUAGCUGGUCUGAGAGGAUGAUCAGCCACACUGGGACUGAGACACGGCCCAGACUCCUACGGGAGGCAGCAGUGGGGAAUAUUGGACAAUGGGCGAAAGCCUGAUCCAGCAAUGCCGCGUGAGUGAUGAAGGCCUUAGGGUUGUAAAGCUCUUUUACCCGGGAUGAUAAUGACAGUACCGGGAGAAUAAGCUCCGGCUAACUCCGUG